rnacentral:sRNA from 1 species
ACGCCGAAAGGAGGUGAUCGGGUACAUGAGUGAAACCCGGACGCGCGAGGUGGCUGCGGGCUAGCGGCCCGUCACCACAUCAGUGCGGUGCCGGACCAGCGUGCGCGAGAAGCACGCAGCCGGCCCAAUCCCAAGCAGCCGCCCGACCCGCGAGCUCGCCGGUACGUCCGGCCGGCCCUCCGUUUCAGGAGGUCCCGAGUUCGCGGGUCGUCUGCG